AAAGGUUUACGUUAAUAGAAAACCAUCAGCCUUCAAAGUUGACAAAAAAAGUGCAACUCUUUUAACCUUUG
rnacentral:tRNA from 1 species